rnacentral:lncRNA from 1 species
CGAAUUGAAUUCGGAUUCGUUUAUUAUUCGUUUAUCCUUAACGAAUCGAAUCAGGAUUCGUUACAAUUCGUUUAGAAAAAUAUAAUUAAUAAACAAAGUUAAGUAAAAUAAAAUAUAUAAAAAUUACAAAUUUAACAUCCCAGAAUAAAACACAAAUAACUCAAAUCAUAUUAUGCAGCCAUCCAAAUACUAAAUUAUAAAUCUCUAAUAAUACAAAUAACAAUAAUUCAAAUUCAAAUUAUAAAAUAAGGUAAUUUCUUUAAUUCUCUUCAUUUGUCUUUUUCACCUUGAAAAUAAAAAUCCUACACCAAAAAUAAAUAAAAUGUUAUUAACAUAUAUAAAUGAAAUAAUUCAAAUUAAUUGAAGAAUAAAAGAUCAUAUAUAUUUAUAUAUAUAUAUAUAUAUAUAUAUAGUUAUUUUUUAAAAUUUUUAACAAUGACAUAAUUGAAGAAUAUGAGCAAAAAAUAAAAAAGCUAACAGCUUAGCACUAAUGGACUCUUUGAAAUCGUCUUGAUGGAAAAAGCUAAAAGCAUACAUAGUUUACAACAUAUCUUUCGAAAUGAAAAAGCUAGCACUUGGAUGCAAAAAUAAUAAAAAAGGGAAAAAGAAGUGGAGCUUACUUUGGUGGUGACUGCUGCUGGUUAAGUGACGUUGAUAAACUGUGAAAUCAACCCUGAAUUGCUAAGAGAUGAAGGGAAAGAGAUGAAGGUAAAGAGAUGUGAAAUGUAAGAAUUAAGAUUAGGGCCGGCUGCUUUGAUUGCUUUGACUUUGCUUUAGCUUAAAAUUACAAUAUU